UACGUAGGGGGCAAGCGUUGUCCGGAUUUAUUGGGCGUAAAGAGCGUGUAGGCGGCCUGGUAGGUCAGUUGUGAAAACUCGAGGCUCAACCUCGAGACGUCGGUUGAAACCGUAAGGCUAGAGUCCGGAAGAGGAGAGUGGAAUUCCCGGUGUAGCGGUGAAAUGCGCAGAUAUCGGGAAGAACACCCGUGGCGAAGGCGGCUCUCUGGGACGGUACUGACGCUGAGACGCGAAAGCGUGGGGAGCGAACAGG
rnacentral:rRNA from 1 species